CUGACAAGUGAUCAUUGUGCUCUCACGAAACUCGAACGUUCACAGCGAAGAUCAAUUACCAUUCAAAAUGCCGGGACCAAAAUGCGACAACUGCAGUGACAACUGCUGCCAGGACUGCAAAUGCGGUGAUUCCUGCAAGUGCUGUGACUCUGGAUGCGGAGACAAAUGCUGUUGCAAGUCUGGAGGGCAGUGUAAUUGCAAACCCUGCAAAUGCUAAAUUGAGAACAGGACGCUACUAAAUUGAUGGUUUACAGUGGGAUGGAUGUCGCGACCAUAAAUCAGCAGUCGAGAUUUUAGAUGUCAUUAUCUACUUUAAGCUCUCUCUCUCUCUCUCUCUAUCAUCGGUAUGAUGACUAACGAAGUUUAACAAAAUGUACUAUGACUGUAAUAACAUGGAAUUGCAUUGAAACAUGAGCUAUAUUAUAGAAGCAUACGAAUGCAUCAAUAAAAAUAUGAAAAAUCA